rnacentral:misc_RNA from 1 species
AGGGCAGGGUGAAAAUCCCGACCGGCGGUAGCCCCUCGCAAGAGGGGGAGCCCGCGAGCGCUCCCGGCCGUCAGGCGGGGAGGUCAGCAGAUCCGGUUCAAGGCCGGAGCCGACG